UCGUUCGCGGGUUUUUAUUUUGUACUUUAAAUAUUGAGUUCAAUUUUUAAAUGUUCAUAUUUUUGAAUGCUUUAUUCAAAUAAUGUAAAAAAUAAAAUAGAUAUUGACAUGGAUUGAACAAAGAUAUAUAUUAUUCUAUGUUGCAUAAACAAAUUGGCAAAAUAGAGACGGAAGAUAAAAAUAUGGUCAAAGUAAUAA
rnacentral:misc_RNA from 1 species